CAAUGGCGUAUAUUAAAGUUGUUGCGGUUAAAAAGCUCGUAGUUGGAUUUCUGCUGAGGACGACCGGUCCGCCCUCUGGGUGAGCAUCUGGCUCGGCCUGGGCAUCUUCUUGGAGAACGUAUCUGCACUUGACUGUGUGGUGCGGUAUUCAGGACUUUUACUUUGAGGAAAUUAGAGUGUUUCAAGCAGGCAUACGCCUUGAAUACAUUAGCAUGGAAUAAUAAGAUAGGACCUCGGUUCUAUUUUGUUGGUUUCUAGAUCUGAGGUAAUGAUUAAUAGGGAUAAUUGGGGGCAUUCGUAUCAACACGUCAGAGGUGGAAUUCUUGGAUUGUGUUGCGACGAACUACUGCGAAAGCAUUUGCCAAGGAUGUUUUCAUUGAUCAAGAACGAAAGUAAGGGGAUCGAAGACGAUCAGAUACCAU
rnacentral:rRNA from 1 species